GAUGAACGCUGGCGGCGUGCCUAAUACAUGCAAGUCGAGCGAACGGACGAGAAGCUUGCUUUUCUGGUGUUAGCGGCGGACGGGUGAGUAACACGUGGAUAACCUACCUAUAAGACUGGGAUAACUUCGGGAAACCGGAGCUAAUACCGGAUAAUAUUUUGAACCGCAUGGUUCAAAAGUGAAAGACGGUCUUGCUGUCACUUAUAGAUGGAUCCGCGCUGCAUUAGCUAGUUGGUAAGGUAACGGCUUACCAAGGCAACGAUGCAUAGCCGACCUGAGAGGGUGAUCGGCCACACUGGAACUGAGACACGGUCCAGACUCCUACGGGAGGCAGCAGUAGGGAAUCUUCCGCAAUGGGCGAAAGCCUGACGGAGCAACGCCGCGUGAGUGAUGAAGGUCUUCGGAUCGUAAAACUCUGUCAUUAGGGAAGAACAUAUGUGUAAGUAACUGUGCACAUCUUGACGGUACCUAAUCAGAAAGCCACGGCUAACUACGUG
rnacentral:rRNA from 1 species